UAUAUAGUUUAGCAGACACCUCUUAAGAUAAAAUAUAAAAUAUCUAUGGAAAUCAUGAAUAAUUUAUAAUUUCGUGUAAAAGUUAGAUUUGAUAGGCCUCAAAUACAAUUAAAAAGAAAAGGUUAGAAACAUGAUAAUUUGUAUAAACUACCAGACAUCUAUUCUGUAUUUGGUGGAUAUUAGCUUUAAUUUGGAAAUGCACACUAUUUGUAUUUUCUCUUCUUUUACAUAAAUAUUAUGGAUCGCAUUAGGAGAUAUACCUAAUGCUAAAUGACAAGUUAUUGGGUGCAGCACACCAACAUGGCACAUGUAUACAUAUGUAACAAAACUGCACGUUGUGCACAUGUACCCUAAAACUUAAAGUAUAAUAAUAAUAAAAAUAUAUAUAUAUGUAUAUAUAUAUUCAAAUGUAAAAAAAAAUACAGUUAGAAGGAUAGGUUCUAUUGUUUGACAGCACAAUAGGACACUAUCAUUAAAAAUAAUUUAUUGCACAUUUCAAAAUAUCUAGAAGUAUUGGAAUGUUCCCAACAAAAACAAAUGAUACAUCUUUGAGGUGAUGGAUAUUUUAAUUACCUUAAUUUGAUUAUUAUACCUUGGAUGCUUGUAUCAAAAUACCACAUGUACCCCAUAAAUAUAUACAACUAUUAUGAAUCAAUUUUUUAAAAUAAAAAAAUUAUAGUUAUAUAAUUAUCUAGUGUUCUAUUUUGCUUCUGUAUUCCUCUAAAAUCUGUCAUACUGCCACAUUAUACAUACAAAUCCCAAUUGCAUCUUUCACAUUAGCCCUUUUUGUGUUACUUCCUUGGCAUUUUACAACUGCCCUAAUGUUUUUAGAUCAAGACAUGAGGGGGAAAGAAAUUUUACAUUAUUACAUUUAACUUAGUAUUUACUUGUGAUUCAUAGCUGAAGUUUACUUACUUCUCUGAAACGUAUUUAACCAUCCAUAGAUACAAAAUAGCUAUUGUGUAAAUUCUUCUUGUAUUAAAAGAAAAAAAACUAAUUUGUGUUUGAUUUAGUAGUUCCCAAAUGAGAAUAAUCAAGCAAAUGUGUUUUCUCAAUCACUGACUUUCUUGGACCAAAUAAGUUAGAUAAGAAAAACUAAGCUAUGGCAUAUGAUUUCUGGAAACAGUUAUUGUUGAAACAAAUUAAUUUAGAAAGAAGUUAUAAAACUUAUGUACAAAUUUUAUUUAUUAGAUAUUUAUGCAUUGCUUUCCACGUUUCUCCUAUUGUGAGGUAUAAAGUACAGAAAUAUGAAUUUUACUGAAAUAAAUGUAAAUUUUACUUAAUCUUUUCUUAAUAGCUUUCAUUUUUGUUAUUUGGAAAAAUGAUUCAUAAGGAUCACGUAGGGAGUAGCAUUGGUUAUAGUAUAACUGAUUUUAAAGAAAAUUUUUCCAUGGAGAAAGACAAAAUUGAGUUGAAAAUACAAGACUGUUAAUUGUUUUGUUCCUGUAUAAGAAUCAACAAAAGUAAACUCAUUGUUUCAUCUUAUGUUAUGUAACUGUCUGCUCUUAAAGAAAAACACAAAUUCACACAAUCCUUUAUACUUUCUAUACAAUAAUUUACAUGUAUUUUAUAUAUUUACCUUUAUAUUUAUAAACAUACACAAUAUAUUUUUCAUUUGUUGAGAAUUGAGUGCAGUUUUUCAUCAGGGGGUCAUUUUCUUCUAUAAUUUUCAAGAUAAAAGACAUUCUUUUAAUGUCAGCCUCAUGCCUACAUGGCUAUGUUUUCUACUAUUAAGCAAGCAACCUGGAUUUAAUUCCCAACCCAGAUUGCACACUCCCCAGACUACUUGGUUCAACACCUGUAAAGAAGAAAAUUACUUAUGUUACAUGAAAGCACCUAUUUUAGUUUUAAGGAGAGGUGCUAGUUUCCAAUAAAGGAAUAGAGUGUAUUUUUCUUUGUUUUCUGUUGGAAAUGUAGUAGUUGUGGCCUUUCAGCAGAAUAUGUCAAGCCACCCCACAAAGAGUUCCUUUCCCAGUGUAUUUAUUGCUGCGUGCACCACCACAUGUUUUUCGCAUAAAGAAAAGAAAAAUGCAGGUAUUAGAGAUUCUAAUUAUAUGUUUCUACAAGCUGAAUUAACACGGAAAUGUCAAAUUGCUUGGGGGAGCAUUUAACCCUGUACCUCUAGAGCAUUCCAAAGUAUUUGUGUUUCUGUACACUUAGACUCUUAAAAGCUAUUUGACCGUUUUCCCAGGGUAUCUGCACCUAAGAGACUAACUAGCUUUAUACUGACACAGUGACAACUAUUAGAUAGAACUUACUUCAGGUUUUUCUUGUUGUCGUUGUCGGGGGAUUGUAACUUUUUAUUCCACUCCAAAUCUGAAGGUUUAAGAUAGAGGAAUAUAAACUUUCAGUAGGUCAGUGUAUUAGCAGAUGUUUAUAUUGUCUGUGUGUUUGUGUAUCUGUGUGUGGGUAUAUGUUUAUGAGACAGAGGGAGAGAAAAUCCAGCUAACUGUAUCUUAGAAACAUCAAUGGAGAGGUAGAGAGAUAGCAUUCUUCUCCCACCCUGUAAUACUUGAUUUCUGGACUAGGAAAAAAAUUGGUAGCGGUCCACUUGGGAUUUUUUAUAAUAUUGCAAAAUGGCUAUGAUUAUUAAUUUAUGUUUUAACAAAUAACCACAUUAAGGGAUAAAGUAGAAAGCACAGUCAUUGGAGCAUAAACUUGAACAGGAAUAAUAAGACAUUUUAUUGUCAGCAGGGAUUUAUCUCUCAGGGAUGCUAGAAUGCUGGGUUUCCUUUGCUUACCAUGAAUUAUUGAUUCUAUGUCCUGUUACUUCCAUUAUGGUGUUUCCAAAAUAUCAGCCUAACCAGUCUUUUGUAUUAAACCUAUUUCAAAAAUAAUAGACUACUAAUAUAAUUGCAUCAGUUUCUUAAAAUAUUGACAUUUGGGUAUAAUUAUAUAUAUAUAUAUUCAUAUUCUAGUAUUAUAGAAAAAUAACUGAAAAAAUGCAGUGGCCUCAAAUAUAUUAACUAUCUACAUUUCAAAAUCUGUGUAAACAUUUUAUUGAAAAAUUUUUAGGCUUUUCCUUACGUAUGUUGAGAAAUUUUUUGGCAUUUUUUAUUUUCUCCUGGCAACAUGAAACAGCUGGGUUUAAACAACAGUUUAGAUUCAGGUUUGUUUUCUUUCUUUUUUCUUUCAAGAAGAGGUCAUGGACCACCUGUAAACUGUAUCUUGAUGGAUUAAAUAAAACUUGUAAAAUUGAAUCCUGGUAAUAAAGUAGAUUCUAUAAAAUAGACACCUUGUAUCUCUCUCCAUUAUUCCAUUCUUUUGUGGUUCUUCCUUGAUUCAAAUGUGCACUUAUUUUAACAUAUGUAAUUUCUACAAAUUCUACAACACUUCUUGCUUUCUUUCCUAAGACACCUAUAGUGACUUUUCUUAUUGUGCUGGGCAAACUUUGAACUCCUAGAUGCCAUUUAUGACAGCUCAAAAUGAAUGCCUUGAUAAGGCUACAAAGCAAAGUGGUGGUUUGAAAAGCCUAUUGAUGAAAGGUUGGCAGGGAGGCUGUGCUAACCACAUACAAGGAUCAUGCAUGAGGCUACAGGAGGUCACAGGUUUUUAAGGAGCAUGGAUCAAGCAGGGUCAGAUUGGUUACAGCCAAUUGCACAGCACAUUCUUCUCCAUUCAUCCCCAGCUGCAUCUCUAAUUAUGACCUACACAAUCAGCGAUGAAGCAUUAAAAAGUGGAACUGUAUUGUUCCAUGGUGAGUGCUUAGCAAAAAAGCUGGAAUUUGAUACUUAGUCACAGUUUGCAAACAAUGUGGUUGAACCACCUGAGGGGUCACAUUUUUACAUUCUGAGGCAAUUUAUUAGUAAUGGUACAUGUCAGUCAAAAAUCCCCCUAAAGCUCUUUCAUUACUAGCCAUGACUUUGAUACAGAAAUGGUUCAAAGUAAUAGGCAAAUAAAACAAGAGCUAGAUCAUUUACAAAGAAGGAUCACCACAUUCCCUUUAUCCUUUCCUGAUGAGCAAUCUUUGUAGUUGAGCUCUAAGUGGUAUAAAGAUUAUACUGGAUGGGUUAUUUUGAAAGCAAGCCUUUUUAUUUGUCAAUGAGGGAUUGUUAAAGCUUCUAAACUAUUUCCAUGAUUUCUUCCAUUUUAACUGAAAAUAUA
rnacentral:lncRNA from 1 species